rnacentral:rRNA from 1 species
AGCGAACGCUGGCGGCAGGCCUAACACAUGCAAGUCGAACGAACCUUUCGGGGUUAGUGGCGGACGGGUGAGUAACACGUGGGAACGUGCCUUUAGGUUCGGAAUAACUCAGGGAAACUUGUGCUAAUACCGAAUGUGCCCUUCGGGGGAAAGAUUUAUCGCCUUUAGAGCGGCCCGCGUCUGAUUAGCUAGUUGGUUGAGGUAAUGGCUCACCAAGGCGACGAUCAGUAGCUGGUCUGGGAGGAUGAUCAGCCACAUUGGGACUGAGACACGGCCCAAACUCCUACGGGAGGCAGCAGUGGGGAAUCUUGCGCAAUGGGCGAAAGCCUGACGCAGCCAUGCCGCGUGAAUGAUGAAGGUCUUAGAAUUGUAAAAUUCUUUCACCGGGGACGAUAAUGACGGUACCCGGAGAAGAAGCCCCGGCUAACUUCGUG